rnacentral:tRNA from 1 species
GGGAAGGUGGCUCAGUGGUAGAGCGCUCGCCUAGCAUGCAGGAAGCCCUGGGUUCCAUUCCUCAGCACCCCCC